GCCCCUGUGGUGAAAUUGGUAGACGCGCCGCACUCAAAAUGCGGUAUCGAAAGAUGUGUUGGUUCGAGUCCGACCAGGGGCA
rnacentral:tRNA from 1 species